rnacentral:rRNA from 1 species
GAUGAACGCUGGCGGCGUGCUUAACACAUGCAAGUCGAACGAAGCGCUUAAAUGGAUUUCUUCGGAUUGAAGUUUUUGUGACUGAGUGGCGGACGGGUGAGUAACGCGUGGGUAACCUGCCUCGUACAGGGGGAUAACAGUUAGAAAUGACUGCUAAUACCGCAUAAGCGCACAGUGCUGCAUGGCACAGUGUGAAAAACUCCGGUGGUAUGAGAUGGACCCGCGUCUGAUUAGCUAGUUGGUGGGGUAACGGCCUACCAAGGCGACGAUCAGUAGCCGGCCUGAGAGGGUGAACGGCCACAUUGGGACUGAGACACGGCCCAAACUCCUACGGGAGGCAGCAGUGGGGAAUAUUGCACAAUGGGGGAAACCCUGAUGCAGCGACGCCGCGUGAGCGAAGAAGUAUUUCGGUAUGUAAAGCUCUAUCAGCAGGGAAGAAAAUGACGGUACCUGACUAAGAAGCACCGGCUAAAUACGUGCCAGCAGCCGCGGUAAUACGUAUGGUGCAAGCGUUAUCCGGAUUUACUGGGUGUAAAGGGAGCGUAGACGGUUGUGUAAGUCUGAUGUGAAAGCCCGGGGCUCAACCCCGGGACUGCAUUGGAAACUAUGUAACUAGAGUGUCGGAGAGGUAAGCGGAAUUCCUAGUGUAGCGGUGAAAUGCGUAGAUAUUAGGAGGAACACCAGUGGCGAAGGCGGCUUACUGGACGAUCACUGACGUUGAGGCUCGAAAGCGUGGGGAGCAAACAGGAUUAGAUACCCUGGUAGUCCACGCCGUAAACGAUGACUACUAGGUGUUGGGGAGCAAAGCUCUUCGGUGCCGCAGCAAACGCAAUAA